rnacentral:rRNA from 1 species
UCUCAAACUUUAAAUAGGUAAGCUGCGGUUGUCGCUUGAUUGGACCGCCGCGCGGAAUGAGAGCUCUAUGUGGGCCAUUUUUGGUAAGCAGAACUGGCGAUGCGGGAUGAACCGAUAGUCGGGUUAAGGCGCCCAACUGCGCGCUCACCUAGAUCCCACAAAGGGUGUUGAUUGAUACAGACAGCAGGACGGUGGUCAUGGAAGUCGAAAUCCGCUAAGGAGUGUGUAACAACUC